AAAUCUUACCAGGUCCAGACAUAUUGAGGAUUGACAGGCGAUAGUAUAAAUUAUAUUAUAUAAUUUAUUAUAUAAUAUAUUUAUGCACAAAAAUGAUAGUCCUUUCAUGAUUAUAUGAUAGGUGGUGCAUGGCCGUUCUUAGUUCGUGGAGUGAUCUGUCUGCUUAAUUGCGUUUCAGAUUAAAAAAAAUAUAAUAUGUAUAUUAUAAUUAUAUACUGUUCUGCUUUUAUUAAUUUAAAAGAUUGUGAACGUAUUUUAUAUUAUAUAUAUUAUAUAAUAAAAUGAAUGCAACGAACGUGAUCGUAGCCCUUUAUUGCUUUAAAUUAUAUAUUAAUAUAUUUAUAUAUUAUAUAUAAUAAUAAAGCGUAAAAUUAAGGGGACCGCUGUCUAAAUUUUAGUGUUAAAAUAGAGUAAGAUUACGGCAAUAA
rnacentral:rRNA from 1 species